AGGUUAAUAAAACUGGCUUAAGAUUAAACUUCAAAUUAUUGUUUUAAAUCAAACGACAUCUUCAUAACCUAACAGAUCAAGUCAACAGUGAAUAUACAGGUUACCGGUUUUAUAUUUCUACCUCUAAUAUUUUUGUUGGUGAAAUUACCUUUUAGCGAAAUAAAAUAGAUUUAUUUUGACUUCAAGUAAGUACGAAGGUAAAGAAACUUCGUCGGUGCCGCACGAACUGAACGGCCUGCAGCACGAUGAAUGCGUUACGGUGCUAAACAGACACAGAAACGGAGGGAUUUUGAACGAUGAUCAAUAUCAUUUUCGUAAGCUGUUACAGUCAAUGGAAGCCACUCUCCGUCUACCACUGGCAUUAAUUGAUAUUAUUUUAUGUAUUUCAUUAUUGCGAUGAUUUUUAAAUUAAAACUUUCAGUGCCUGGAUGCAACCUG